rnacentral:rRNA from 1 species
UACGUAAGUGGCGAGCGUUGUCCGGAAUUACUGGGCGUAAAGGGCAGGUAGGCGGCCCGGAAAGUCUGAGGUGAAAUCCCAGGGCUUAACCCUGGAACUGCCUUGGAAACUACCGGGCUGGAGGGCCAGAGGGGAAAGUGGAAUUCCGGGUGUAGCGGUGAAAUGCGUAGAUAUCCGGGAGAACACCAAUGGCGAAGGCAGCUUUCUGGCUGGUACCUGACGCUGAACUGCGAAAGCUAGGGGAGCGAACGGG